rnacentral:ncRNA from 1 species
UCAGGGGUGCUAUUUAUUGUUGAAUGGCUGAGAAUAAACCCAUUGACCUGAUCUGGUUAAUGCCAGCGUAGGGAGUCAGUUAUGU